rnacentral:rRNA from 1 species
ACGUGCUAUCACCUGGUNGGCGGGGUAACGGCCCACCAAGGGGAAGACGGCUAGCGGGUGUGCGAGCACGACCCGCGCCACUGGCACUGAGACACUGGCCAGACUCCUACGGGAGGCUGCAGUCGAGGAUCUUCGGCAAUGGGCGAAAGCCUGACCGAGCGACGCCGCGUGCGCGACGAAGGCCCUCGGGUUGUAAAGCGCGAAGGUACCGAGGAAGGGCAACUUGACCGAGGUACAGUAAGCACGGGCUAAGUUCGUGCCAGCAGCCGCGGUAAGACGAACCGUGCGAACGUUGUUCGGAAUCACUGGGCUUAAAGGGCGCGUAGGCGGCCCGCCGCGUCCGGGGUGAAAGCCUCCGGCCUAACCGGAGAAGUGCCCCGGGUACGGGCGGGCUCGAGGGGGAGAGGGGCGUGCGGAACACCCGGUGGAGCGGUGAAAUGCGUUGAGAUCGGGUGGAACUCCGGUGGCGAAGGCGGCACGCUGGACCCCAACUGACGCUGAGGCGCGAAAGCCGGGGGAGCGAACGGGAUUAGAUACCCCGGUAGUCCCGGCCCUAAACGAUGAGGACUAGGUAGCGGCCCCGGCGUGGGGUCGCUGCCGGAGCCAAAGUGCGAAGUCCUCCGCCUGGGGAGUAUGGCCGCAAGGCUGAAACUCAAAGGAAUUGACGGGGGCUCACACAAGCGGUGGAGCAUGUGGCUUAAUUCGAGGCUACGCGAAGAACCUUAUCCCAGGCUUGACAUGCGCGAAAGCGUCUGCAAGUAGCCCGCGGAAACGUGGGGCGAACGG